ACAAAUAUGUCCAGGGUAGCCUAGUGGUCAUGGCAUCUGCCCGGUAAGCGGAAAGUCGUGGGUUCGAUUCCCAUCCCUUGUG
rnacentral:tRNA from 1 species